rnacentral:rRNA from 1 species
UACGGGGGGGCAAGCGUUGUUCGGAAUUACUGGGCGUAAAGGGCGCGCUGAGGCGCUGCUAAGUCACACGUGAAAUCCCUCGGCCUCAACCGGGGAACUGCGUGUGAUACUGGCGGGCUUGAAUUCGGGAGAGGGAUGUGGAAUUCCAGGUGUAGCGGUGAAAUGCGUAGAUAUCUGGAGGAACACCGGUGGCGAAGGCGGCAUCCUGGACCCGAGGAUUGAACGC